CUUUUAAUGUAAUUGCUGAUUAUUUUCCUUACUUUGUUAUCAUAAAGUUUGUUGUUGUUAUUUAAGUUUUUAUUUUUUAUCUUCUCUGCUGUCCGAGAUAUCCAUGUUAUUGUCUUUCCCCCCUUGUUACCUGUCCACAAAAUCAGCUUGUUAUGGUGACUGGGGGCACGCUGACGUCAUCAAGCAUAUAAACUAUAGUCAUGUCACGAUCUUGUCGAUUGGUUUUUUGAGUUAACCAAGGAAUCCAACACAAAAUGGCGUCUUACAGAAGAGACCUAAAAAUCUUAUCGAUCGCUCAGCUUGUAAUGGCGGGUAUCCUCUUCAUACUCGGAAUGGUAGACUAUUUUGAGGUUCGCUACAUGUAUGCCAGUUUCAUAUUGAUGCCAGUUUGGAUUAGCCUUCUUGUCGUACCCGUGGGCAUCAUGGGAUUGGUUUUGGUGGAGAAAUCCAGUCCUUCCUCUGCUAUGAUAAACAUCCUAAGUUCAGUGAGCAUCACAUGUGCGGCUGUGGCAGUACUAACCAUUUAUACCUAUGCAACGACACUGAACUACAUAUUGUCCUACAAAUAUUGGGAGGCACAACGUGAUAAUGGUGAUUCUGAAAAUCCAUGGUUUGCUAAUAAAAAGGCAGAAAUCGACUUCCGAAAAGAGGAAAAAACCAUGAUAGCUGUACAUGCCUUGAUUAUCAUGUGUUCCAUCCUCCAAGUUAUACUUGCCAUGGCAAGUGUCCGAACUGGUGAGGCACUGGCUAAGGAGCCGCAUGAAACCCAGGCAAGCGUUGGAUAUCGCCAAGUGGCAGAGGAAGAUGUCCCUUUGUUGUUCUCGAAUACAGAACAGGAGGCAGACUAGUUGGUAUCAGCUCCUGGUCAUACAUUGCUGGAUAGAGGGCGACCUAACUUAAUAACAUAACGUAACCAAACGCUUUUUAAACGACAUGGAAGCAAAUUGAUUGUUAUAACCACAAAACAAGAAUGUUAUCAGUAGUAAUUUGAGUCAUCUCGUUUCCAAGAUUUUGACAUUUUCACAUUGAUAGAUAAGAUGAAAAAAUAGCAUGUAAAAGCAGAUUUGCAUUCUCACAUUCAUUUUACUUCAUUAUGACUUCCAUGAGUUCGCAGACUUAAGGUGCCUACAAAACUUCCAGUGCAAGUGGUUAAAAAGUUUGCAGAAUGAACCUCUCAAGACCUACUUGACUGGAAGACGAAGUACAAACAAGGGUUCCUUUACUACUGCUAAUAAAAUUCACAUUAAUAUUGACACCAUAUAUAUUAAUAUUCUCUGGUAGUACUGAAGAACACUGAGAUUUAAUAGUAUCGAAAAAGAAGGCGCUUCCAUAUUCAACAAUAGCAUCUGAUGUGUCAGAGUUCCAAUAACUACAAGGCUUUAGAACUGAAAAACAAAUGGCAUACAAUGCUAAAGCAGAGCUCUUUGCUGCAGUACAAAUUUUAUUAUUAUCAGAAAUAUUAAGUAAAGCACCAACAGAAUCCUGCUGUGAAGUAUUACUGGUCCUGGAAGUUGCUUCGAUGUCAUUAUUAAUGCUUAUUGAAGACUUCUCAAAUAUUGCAAAAAAUCAACCUUUGGGGUGGCUAUGUAACAGAUCGUAGCAUGAAGUGUAAUUUCUGACUGAACUGCACAAAGUCAUAUACCCAAAGAGAGUCAUCUUUUAUAGUCACAGUGAAAUCAGGUGAUUUAAACAUCGAACCAUGCCCUUGAGUACAUAAUUUUGCCCUAAGACAUCCAUCGUUAAAGGAAAAAAUACUUGGUCAAUUAUAUCACAUAGUUCUAUAGAUAAAAAUUUUGGAAGUAUAACAAAAUGUUGCACCAUUGAAAUAUCUCCAGAAUCCUUUUGACAAAUAUCACAUUUAAGUCUACUGCUUUUUCUUGAUAUAGUUGCAGAAACCCUAUCUUGAAAUUUGAUUUGAGACAAGUCUGGAGAAGUUAUGUAAAUUGUAAACAAACUUGUGUUGUUGGAAAUUGCUUUAUUACAACAUGAACAAAUUGAUUGCUCUAUCUGUUGAACAAGAAAAAGAGACUUUAACUGUCAAGUCAUCACACCAACUGUAUUCAAUGUAAAUGUCACUAAAUACAGCAUCAUCAGAUGAUGUGGUAAAAGAGUAAUAACAUUGUCUUAAAUAAGCCCAAACAGGUUCUCAGACCACUGUUGUAUCUGCUUGUGCAUCACUAUUUUCUAACUGUAGAGACAUGCUUUUCUAACAAUUUGAAAGAACUCAUUACUGUUGAUACAUGCAUGUUUUAGAGUCUUUAAAAAUGGCAAAUGUAAGUUCCAAAAGAGUCCACUGCACAAGAGAAUUUGCCUGGUUGGGUUAAGCAGAUAUUCAUAAAAUUUUUUUCGACAAUUACGUGAAGAACCAGGUUUGUGGGAGUCCUGAGAAGAAAUUUUAAGGAAGCUGGGUAUUUUCUCCACUGGUUUUAAAAUACUUUGCUUAUUUUGUUGCUGGAAAAUCAUUUGGCAAUCUAUUAAAGGCUCUGUUGAAACAUAAUGAAAUUCAUCCAAGUGCCCAAUAAAAAUAGGAAGCUGUGUGUGUGAAAGAGAGGGAGCAGUCACUCCUUCCACUAAAGUAAUCUCAGCAAAAUCUGGGUGUGAUUCAAUUAAUGUGAAAUUUCAAAUUAAAUGCAUCUGCUACUGCUUUUAUGAUAAUUCCAUCAGCCCUUGGAAGGGCCCUGACACAACGUACUGGUUAAAUAUUGUAUCCAUGAACGUUCACAAUUACUUUCAAUAAAUCUUUCCAGGUUUUCUGUCAAGAAUUGUAUCCCAGCAGCUCGAAUAAUGCCAUGACUGUUUGGAUUUCCAUAUAACUGAUGUGACACUGCUCUAAAGAAGCAAUCUCCAUCACCACCAACAUCCAGGGGUUUCAGUCCAAACUGAUGUAGCCUCAACUCCAAAAUGCUUAAUGUAGGAGCUCUUACUACACUGUUUGUUUUCUUAUAAGUAAAUGGACCUGGGUUUAACUCCACAUCACCAGACAUCAAAAGCUUUUCUUUUGACAUGCAACACUGAUCCUGAUGAAAAUCAAUGCCUACAUUACUGCAGCUGUAAAGAGACUGGCAUCGAAAUUUAAAAUAUUUAGUGAAAAAACAAUCUGUUCUGUGUACAUAAUUUACAUACCAUAACCUAUAAUUCUUCAAUAAAUGAUGCAUUUCGGAUGAAACAGGAGUUAAUUUCAAAAUACUUUUCAUAUAUUUUCUUCUAAUUCGCCUUUUUCUCAUUUUUUUAAUUAGCCUCUUCACAGGUAUUCUGGACAGUUCCCUGUGACUUUUCACAUGUUUGACUAUCCAUCAUUUAAGUUCUCUUACCCUACAUCUGAGGAUGUGGUUUGAACUUUCACUGAACUUAACAUCCUUAGAAUCACAGGAACAUAUACCAUACUUUAACAUCACAACAGGCUUACUUUCAUCUAAACUUUGACUCGACACAGCUUUCACAGUCUCUCAGUCAAUAACAGGUGUAGUAGAAUAACGUGCAGGUAACCCUUGUAAUAUGGUGGCUCCAGUGAUAAUUUCAUGAAGCUGUGCUUUACUUUUCAUGUAACUAAGAAGGACUUCAUUCAUGCCAUACACGGGCUUAUCCAUAUCAUCAGACAAUGGCUUUCAGGUAUCCUCUCAAAGAGAGGCUUAAUAAUCCUCUGAAGAAGCUAGUAUAGCUUUUUUUUUUUUU